GCACGCGAACCUUACCUGGCCUUGACAUGCCACUAACUUUCCAGAGAUGCAUUAGGUGCUCGAAAAAAAAAGUGGACACAGGUGCUGCAUGGCUGUCGUCACCUCGUGUCGUGAAAUGUUGGGUUAAGUCCCGCAACGAGCGCAACCCUUGCCAUUAUUUGCCAUCAUUUAGUUGGGCACUUUAAUGGGACUGCCGGUGACAAACCGGAGGAAGGUGGGGAUGACGUCAAGUCCUCAUGGCCCUUAUGGCCAGGGCUUCACACGUAAUACAAUGGUCGGAACAAAAAUUUGCCAACCCGCAAGGGGAACCUAACCUCAAAAACCCAAUCGAAUCCCGAAUUGUUCCCUGCACCUCAAKACCWGAARUCCGAAWCCCUUAKAAWCCSSGAAUCACCUGGCCSGGGUAAAUACUUUCCCGGAC
rnacentral:rRNA from 1 species